rnacentral:rRNA from 1 species
AUUGAACGCUGGCGGCAGGCCUAACACAUGCAAGUCGAGCGGAGCGGCGGACGGGAGAGUAAUGCCUAGGAAUCUGCCUGCUAGUGGGAGAUAAAGUACGGAAACGGGCGCUAAUACCGCAUACUUUCAGCUCAGUCUAGGUCGGAUUAGCUAGUUGGUGGGGUAAGGGCCUACCAAGGCGACGAUCCGUACCGGGUCUGAGAGGAUGAGCAGUCACACUGGAACUGAGACACGGUCCAGACUCCUACGGGAGACAGAAGUGGGGAAUAUUGGACAAUGGGCGAAAGCCUGAUGCAGCCAUGCCGCGUGUGUGAAGAAGGUCUUCGGAUUGUAAAGCACUGUAAGUUGGGAGGCGUUACCAACAGAAUAAGCACCGGCUAACUUCGUGCCAGCAGCCGCGGUAAUUC